AUGAGAAGCUGUAAUAAAGGGUUGCAGUGUUGGGAAGUUUGGGAACCGCUGCACUAAGAACUGGCACUCUUACCCCACUGUACACUUCACUAGAAGGAUCCCAGGCUCCAUGGGACUGAGAGAGAUUCGGUGUGGAAAAAGGAUCCAUGGCCAAAUAAGUUUGGGGAAUGCUCUGUUUACUUUUUCCAACUCGGUGCUGACAGCAUGCUCAUGAGAUCUUCCAAUGGCGUGAAAAACAGCAUUUCCCAGCCUGUGGACCCAAGCCCUCUUUUCAAGACCCGUCUUCUGGAUGGCUGGGGCCAGCGCUCUGCAGAUUGGGUCGCCUGGCUUUCUACACAGAUGACCAACUCAUAGCACAGAGGCUGAAGAGUCCCCCAACCCUGUAAUUGCUGUGGGACCCCUGUUAUCUUGGGCACACAGGCUCUCUGUAUUAAAUGUGAACACAC